UACAGAGGUCUCAAGCGUUGCUCGGAAUCACUGGGCGUAAAGGGCGCGUAGGCGGACAUUUAAGUCAGGGGUGAAAGCCCAGAGCUCAACUCUGGAAUGGCCUUUGAUACUGGGUGUCUCGAGUCUGGUAGAGGUUGGUGGAACUGCGAGUGUAGAGGUGAAAUUCGUAGAUAUUCGCAAGAACACCGGUGGCGAAGGCGGCCAACUGGACCAGUACUGACGCUGAGGCGCGAAAGCGUGGGGAGCAAACAGG
rnacentral:rRNA from 1 species